rnacentral:rRNA from 1 species
AUUGAACGCUGGCGGCAGGCCUAACACAUGCAAGUCGAGCGGUAGAGAGGUGCUUGCAUCUCUUGAGAGCGGCGGACGGGUGAGUAAUGCCUAGGAAUCUGCCUAGUGGUGGGGGAUAACGUUCGGAAACGGACGCUAAUACCGCAUACGUCCUACGGGAGAAAGCGGGGGAUCUUCGGACCUCGCGCCAUUAGAUGAGCCUAGGUCGGAUUAGCUAGUUGGUGAGGUAAUGGCUCACCAAGGCGACGAUCCGUAACUGGUCUGAGAGGAUGAUCAGUCACACUGGAACUGAAACACGGUCCAGACUCCUACGGGAGGCAGCAGUGGGAAGUAUUGGACAAUGGGCGAAAGCCUGAUCCAGCCAUGCCGCGUGUGUGAAGAAGGUCUUCGGAUU